rnacentral:lncRNA from 1 species
UCAUAUAGAAGACGACAAAGACAAAAAACACAGGUGGCCUACCUCCCGCGAGUGGAAAAAGAACACACCGGAUAAAAAAACAAGAGCGAGCACAGCAGCCCCUUCCUCUUGCGACUGGUGGUUUCCUCCUUUGGUAAAAAUAUCUAGGGUUCACAGCCGCCGGGCCCUCCCCGGCCGCCGCCGCCGGUAUCCUCCCCGGCCGCCGUCGUCCGUCUGCGCGACAAGGAGGGAGGGUAGGCGAGUUCCUCGUGGUCGCCUUCCGCUAGUCCCUCGUGGUGGCCAUGGCGAUUGGCGAGCUCCUCCCUGCUACCUAGGCUUGCGGCCAAUCCUCCUACCUUCUCCAUGGCGAGCUCGUCUCUGCUGCCUCCUUCCUUGUCUGCCAUCGAGCAGGCCAUGGUGACGGCCAGAUCCACACGUGCUCAUUAAGGUUCGACUUUGGUAAGUUCCAACCCCGUCCCCCGUAUCGGCACCGCUGGUUUUAGGUUCGGAAAAUUUUGUGUUCUCUAUUCGAUUCAGAUUCCCCUGCUUGAUUCAGGUUCAGCCCCGUCCCCGCACCAUGGAGCUCUGAUCCCACACCUGCCGCACCUCGGCAGAAUCCCCGUAGGACGACCGCCGCUCCUCCUUAACAUCGCUCCUCCAUCAUGUCCAAGUGUCCAAGUGUUGUGCGGGUCUGCAAGUCCUCCUCGUUUCCAAGUCUGAUUUUUUUUCUUUUUGGUCUGAUAUAUUUGUCUCUGAAAUUUUGAUGCAUGAAAUAUUGUAAGUUUGUAGCCUUGAAACUGUCUUGCAUUUGGUUCGAUCGAAGGAUUAUGAUAAAUUUGUUUGUGUGCGUGCAUUUCUGAUAAUGUUACUUCUUUGUGCAGUUUGAGAAAGCUUAGAUGAGCUUGUGUCUGCUAUUGAACACAGUUUAGAAACAACAAACUCUGUAGUUUAUGAGAGCUGAGAAAGAACUCUGUCGACACUGCUAGAUUCAGUUAAACUCUGUAGGCUACAUUCAGUUUCUUUACAACAUAAAAAUGCUUUAGACUGCUAGAUUUAGUAUAGUGAUAAUCCAAGCUUCACACUGCAUAAAAUGCUUCUUUUGUUGUGAUAAAAUGCUUGUUUUGACAUAUAUACUCUGAAUAUUUUUGCCUCUCCAUUGGAACACUCACAAAACUGAUUGCCGCCGUCCGGUCGGGUUCCUGGCAGUCUGAUCCCAGUGACACUGAACACUGAACCUUUAUUCCAGUGAAACCACAAUGACAAUGUCAGUACAGUGCAUAAAAACUGAACCUUUAAUCCCAUUUCAGUAGUGUGAGCACUAUAUCAACUAUUAGUUUUUUAGAUGACUUGCCCAUGCCCAUGCCUUUGUUUUGUUAACUUAAUUUUAGUUAAUUAACAAAUGUUUCAAUACUUUCCUUGUUUUAAGUUACUGCUAUGGAAGUAACUUAACUUGGCCAUGCCCAUAUCAUUUCAGUUAAUCAUGCAUGCCUAGUCGAUGGCAGCUGCUGCGGAAGUCGAGCCCGACGACGAAGGCUCCUCCUCAAUGUCCAAAUGCCUAAUUACCCAGGUGCUCAUUUGCCUCGUGCCCAAGUGCUCUACAAGUAUGCAGGUCCUUCUCCUCGUGCCCAAGUUUGAAAUUUUGAUCUUUUUGGAACCAUUUGUCUACGAAGCAAAAUAAUGUGCAGUAAGAUUCUGCCAUUAUGUUAACAUUAUGGGCAGUAAAAUUCUGUCAUUUUGCGUCUCUGCAUUUCAAUUAUCCACACAUAUUGAUUUGUGUAUUGAACAAAACAUAUAAGAUGUUCUUCGAAAGCUUGAUUAUUGAUUUUUUUAAAUGAUGUUGUCUUUUUUGAUUAAAUCCUAAACUGAAUUUAUAACUGAAUUUAAACUAAACUGAAUCAUUUAAUGCUAAAGUGAAGUUCAGUUCAGUUCUUUUUGCUACACGUAAUUAUCAUCCUUUGUUUUGUUUGUUUUGACACUAAUCUUUGCAAUCAAAAGCUAGAACAUGCUCAGUGGGUUCUGAAAACCACAUGAUGAGCUCAGUUAUUGUGCUAAUAACUGUAAAUUCAACUCUUUUUUCCUUUUUCUGAAAGUUUAUGUGCAUCUAAUUGUUCAAGUGAUGUGUUGCAAUCUACACCAGAGCUUGUGCAGUUUACAGAGUUGACAGGGACACGUUAUUAGGGCACAAGCAGAGCAAGCUCCAUAAGCUCAAAACACUAGCUAAUUUCAUGUAUUUUUAGCUUUAGAAGGAAGGGGGUCACAACUCAGUGAGACUACUCCAACAUGUCUAUAUUGUGAAGAUUAGCCAAUUUGAAUUUCAGUUUCAUUUCAAUUUCUCCUCACUGUCUUCACUUUUAAUCUCAUUUUCAGUUUGGUUCAACUCACCACAAGAAGUGGUAGCAAAGGUGGGCACGGGGAAGCAGCAGAGGCCGAACGCAGAAUCAGAAGCUCAGGCCGGUCGUGGAAGUUGCAACAAAGGCCGGCAUUGGGAAUCGGCACGAGUAGAGGCUGCACGGGGAACUAGCAGAAGCACAGGCAUCACCCACCACCACCAGCGGAAACAGUCGACGGCUGAAGCAGAAGAAGUCCUGGUAGCCGUGGGCUAGUUGCGCGCAGCAGGUGGGCAGCCAAAGUGGUGGCACAGGUGGUAAGCUGCAACAGGUGGGAGGAGCAUGUGGGAGACCGUGGCGGUGGCGCUGGUGAGCAUAGCAAGUGGGCGGCCAUGGUGGAUGUGCAGGUGCGCAGUAGCAGCAGGCCGCCUCCGUGGCGGUGAAGCAGGUAGGGGCAGCGUAGGUGGUUUCCUAGGAGGGGCGAAGGUGAUAGGCUACAACGCUUGUGCGCGGCGGAUGUGUUAUAUGUUGUAUGGAUUAUGGAUGUUAUAUAUAUGAUGUAUGGAUUAUGGAUGUUAUAUAUAUGAUGUAUGGAUUAUGUUAUAUAUAUAUAUAUAUAUAUAUAUAUGCUGUAUGGAUUAUGUUAUAUAUAUAUACAUAUGCUGUAUGGAUCAUGUUAUAUAUAUAUGUUGUAUGAAUUA